GCCCGGGUGGCGGAACUGGCAGACGCGUACGUUUGAGGGGCGUAUGGAGCAAUCCGUACCGGUUCAAGUCCGGUCCCGGGCACCA
rnacentral:tRNA from 1 species